rnacentral:rRNA from 1 species
CACGUAGGGGGCAAGCGUUGUCCAGAUUUAUUGGGCGUAAAGAGCUCGUAGGCGGUUCGGUAAGUCGGGUGUGAAACCUCCAGGCUCAACCUGGAGACGCCACCUGAUACUGCUGUGACUCGAGUCCGGUAGGGGAGCGUGGAAUUCCUGGUGUAGCGGUGAAAUGCGCAGAUAUCAGGAGGAACACCAGCGGCGAAGGCGGCGCUCUGGGCCGGAACUGACGCUGAGGAGCGAAAGCGUGGGUAGCAAACAGG